AGUUAAAGGUCAACAACUGAUACUUUGAGUAGAGUUCCUGUUAGUGUGACUCAAUAUUUUUGUCUUUCAGUUUGCUUGAAUGGUGGAUUACAUUUAUCAAUUUACAUAUGUUGAACCAUCCAUGAAUCUCAGGGAUAAAGCCUACUUGAUCAUGAAUCCUACUUUGUUGGGCUGCAUACUGGCUGGAGGAAGUGACUUGGCAGAGAGAAGGAGCCCUGGGUCCGGUAUGGGAGACUGACGAGCACGGUUCUCUCACGCACUGAGUGACCGAAUGUGUGAGCGGUCACUGCUCCAGACUCCAUUGCUUCAUCUAGGGAAAAAGGAAAGAGAUGACUGGAACAGACAAUCACCAGCUUAAAAAAAUACCAAUUUGUGCGGACAGGAAGAAACUGAAUGAAUGUGCGUUGUAGACACGAGUGCAGUUACGGCAAGGACCCCGCUUUCUCAGACCCAUGAGGAUAGCAAGGCCUUCCCUGGUCCGAGUUUGGAUGUUGACAGAUCCUGCAAGUAUGUCAAUCACUGGUUCGUCCUCCAGCAUGACUGCGCCUGAGACUGGUUCCCUGCUACCCAGAGUUGUCAUCCAGCCUCACCCAGCUGUGUUUAAUAGAAGAACCGAAUGUCUGGGCUGCUGGUACAUCUCCACCAGAGAACACCGCACCCUCCAUCCCAGCUCUUCUGCUGGUGGUCCUUUAUAACCGUUAAGGCGAUCCCCAAACAAUGCAGGUCAGGGCACAAAUUUGGGGGCUGCAGAGGUGGCUCCGUUCAGAAUGUAUAGGAAGCCCUAUCUACUCUCCCUAACCCCCAGCACUAUACUCAACUGGAGGAAUGGCUCAGUGAUUAAAAACACUGUGCAUACUUGAUGACCUGGGUUUGAUCCCCAGAUCACAAUGUGGAAGAAGAGAACAUAUCCCUGAAAUUGUCCUCUGACAUCUACUAAUGUGUCACGGCAUAUAUGCAACCACACUUACAUCAUCAUCAUCACCAUCACCAUCACUAUCACCACUGUGCAAUUAAUAAAACUGAUCAUGGUGUGGUCCAGGGCUGUCGUCCCAGCACUUGGGAGGUAGAGGCAGGAGGAUCAGAAAUUCAAGGUUGGUUAUAUAAAGACGUCCAGGCCAGCCUGGACUCCUCGAGACCCUGUCUCAACAACCACAAAACAAACCCCUUUGCAAAGCUUGUAGAUUGAUUUUUAUAAGAGACACAUCUAGUUGUAGAAUUUUGCAGAGUGUCAAAUGUAAGUGAAAAGUCACAAAAAGUAUACAGUACUGCUAUGAAGCAAUUGAUAUAUAUAUAUAUACACACACACAUAGGUGUGUAUGUGUACACACACACACACACACACACACACCUCUGAUACUCUGAAGCUUUGAGGCUGGUUAACGUAACUGUGGACACAGGUAUGGUUUGCUUUAUUUAGUAGGGAUGUGUUGCUCAGAGGAGUUUGUUGAAUGGACGUUGUCAAAAGUUAUGCAGAUGCCCAGUUUGGAAGAAUUCGGGACAUGGUAACUCUCAGACAGUAAACCCUGAUUUAGGAGGCCAUACCGGAGUCCUAGGACAUCAGUGAUGUAUGCAGUGGAUUUAUAAUGGCUGCUGUGAGAUCAUAAGUUUGUUUUAUUGUCCUCUAGGGACAUUAUCUGCAAAAGUCAGCCUGACAGUGAUACCUUCCUAUGAGAAGAAAGACAACACCCAAAGGAGCUGCAACAGGAGCCCCAAGGAGUCAGACGUUAUCAGGUAGCAGGCAGACUUUGCUGCCAUUUACAAAAUCCUCCAAAUGUGUCAGGCUAGGGGUCAGAGGUCACAGCUGAGCCAGAACUGUACUAAGCUGUUUUAGAGUCGGCGUGAAAGGCAGAAGGUGUGCUGUGUGUUGUCUAACGCAUCGAAUGGCUGUGUGUACUUAAGAAUGGCUUUUGGUUUUAAUAUCGUUGAGUUUGAUUCCAUUAAAGCCAUGAAGGCAGAUUCUUAAUAAA
rnacentral:lncRNA from 1 species